rnacentral:misc_RNA from 1 species
UCAAACUUGGUCAUUUAGAGGAAGUAAAAGUCGUAACAAGGUUUCCGUAGGUGAACCUGCGGAAGGAUCAUUAAUGAGUUAGGGUCUCCCAGGCCCGAUCUCCCAACCCUUUGUUUACUGAAAUCUUAUGUUGCUUCGGCGGGCCCGUCCACUUGUGACCGCCGGAGGGCCACCGAGAGGUGUCCUCUGGCCCGCGCCCGUCGAUGGCCCAUAACCUAAACUCUGAAUGAAUCGUGUCCUUAUUGUCUAAGUCUAUUGUUAAAUACAAAGCAAAACUUUCAACAACGGAUCUCUUGGUUCUGGCAUCGAUGAAGAACGCAGC